rnacentral:rRNA from 1 species
GGACUACAAGGGUUUCUAAUCCUGUUUGCUCCCCCAGCUUUCGUGCCUCAGCGUCAGUCGUCAGCCAGGGCGCUGCCUUCGCCGUCGGUGUUCCUCCGGAUCUCUACGCAUUUCACCGCUCCACCCGGAAUUCCACGCCCCUCUCUGACCCUCAAGCCUCGCCGUCUGGACGGCCCCCUCCCGGGUGAGCCGGGAGAUUUCACCAUCCACGCGCCAGGCCGCCUACGCACCCUUUACGCCCAGUAACUCCGGACAACGCUCGCCUCCUACGUCUUACCGCGGCUGCUGGCAC